rnacentral:rRNA from 1 species
UAGAGUUUGAUCCUGGCUCAGAUUGAACGCUGGCGGCAUGCCUUACACAUGCAAGUCGAGCGGCAGCGCGGGGGCAACCCUGGCGGCGAGCGGCGGACGGGUGAGUAAUACAUCGGAACGUGUCCUUUCGUGGGGGAUAACCAGUCGAAAGACUGGCUAAUACCGCAUGAGAUCUCACGAUGAAAGCGGGGGACCGCAAGGCCUCGCGCGAUUGGAGCGGCCGAUGUCGGAUUAGCUAGUUGGCGGGGUAAAGGCCCACCAAGGCGACGAUCCGUAGCUGGUUUGAGAGAACGACCAGCCACACUGGGACUGAGACACGGCCCAGACUCCUACGGGAGGCAGCAGUGGGGAAUUUUGGACAAUGGGCGCAAGCCUGAUCCAGCCAUGCCGCGUGUGUGAAGAAGGCCUUCGGGUUGUAAAGCACUUUCGGCCGGAACGAAAUCGCGCGGGCGAACAUCCCGCGUGGAUGACGGUACUGGAAGAAGAAGCACCGGCUAACUACGUGCCAGCAGCCCCGGUCAA